UACAGAGGGUGCAAGCGUUAAUCGGAAUUACUGGGCGUAAAGGGCGCGUAGGCGGUAAAUUAAGUUGGAUGUGAAAUCCCUGGGCUUAACCUAGGAACUGCAUCCAAAACUGGUUUACUAGAGUGCAGUAGAGGAUAGUGGAAUUUCCGGUGUAGCGGUGAAAUGCGUAGAUAUCGGAAGGAACACCAGUGGCGAAGGCGGCUAUCUGGGCUGACACUGACGCUGAGGCGCGAGAGCGUGGGGAGCAAACAGG
rnacentral:rRNA from 1 species